CCUACGGGAGGCAGCAGUGAGGAAUAUUGGUCAAGGGCGGGAGCCUGAACCAGCCAAGUCGCGUGAGGGAAGACGGUCCUAUGGAUUGUAAACCUCUUUAGGCGGGGAGCAAUGCCGGGCACGCGUGCCCGGAGGGAGAGUACCCGCAGAAUAAGCAUCGGCUAACUCCGUGCCAGCAGCCGAGGUAAUACGGAGGAUGCGAGCGUUAUCCGGAUUGAUUGGGUUUAAAGGGUGCGUAGGGGGGUUGUUAAGUCAGCGGUAAAAUGACCGGGCGCAACCCGGGCCGGCCGUUGAAACUGGGGAUCUUGAGUGGGCGAGAAGUAUGCGGAAUGCGUGGUGUAGCGGUGAAAUGCAUAGAUAUCACGCAGAACUCCGAUUGCGAAGGCAGCAUACCGGCGCCCGACUGACGCUGAGGCACGAAAGCGUGGGGAUCGAACAGGAUUAGAUACCCGAGUAGUC
rnacentral:rRNA from 1 species